rnacentral:rRNA from 1 species
CAGCAGCCGCGGUAUACGGAGGGUGCAAGCGUUAAUCGGAAUUACUGGGCGUAAAGCGUGCGUAGGCGGUUCGUUAAGUCUGUUGUGAAAGCCCCGGGCUCAACCUGGGAAUGGCAAUGGAUACUGGCGAGCUAGAGUGUGUCAGAGGAUGGUGGAAUUCCCGGUGUAGCGGUGAAAUGCGUAGAGAUCGGGAGGAACAUCAGUGGCGAAGGCGGCCAUCUGGGACAACACUGACGCUGAGGCACGAAAGCGUGGGGAGCAAACAGGAUUAGAUACCCCUGUAGUCCCUGUCUCUUAUACA